rnacentral:rRNA from 1 species
GAUGAACGCUAGCGGCAGGCUUAAUACAUGCAAGUCGUGGGGCAGCGCAGUGUAGCAAUACAUGGGCGGCGACCGGCAAACGGGUGCGUAACACGUACGCAACCUUCCCGUUACUGGGGAAUAGCCCAGGGAAACUUGGAUUAAUACCCCAUAUUAUAUUGAUUGGGCAUCUAAUUAAUAUCAAAGCUUCGGCGGUAACGGAUGGGCGUGCGGUUGAUUAGGUAGUUGGCGGGGUAACGGCCCACCAAGCCUACGAUCAAUAGCUGAUGUGAGAGCAUGAUCAGCCACACGGGCACUGAGACCCGGGCCCGACUCCUACGGGAGGCAGCAGUAAGGAAUAUUGGGCAAUGGACGAAAGUCUGACCCAGCCAUGCCGCGUGGAGGAUGAAGGUCCUCUGGAUUGUAAACUUCUUUUUUCUGGGGCGAAAACCGGUUUUUCUAAACCAUUUGACAGUACCAGAAGAAUAAGCACCGGCUAACUCCGUGCCAGCAGCCGCCGUAAGAC